AGUAAUGGACAUAAAGAAUCAAACAAAUCAAAGAUUACACUCAUAGGAAGAGAAUAAUGCACACAAGAAUGAAAGUAAGUGGUCAUACGAUGUAACCACACAAUUAGGCUCAAAACUCGCAUGCUUGUGUUUUUAGCUCAAAACAUGCUCCACAAAAUAUAGUUGAAGCAAGAA